rnacentral:rRNA from 1 species
UACGGGGGGGGCAAGCGUUGUUCGGAAUUACUGGGCGUAAAGGGCUCGUAGGCGGCCAACUAAGUCGGAUGUGAAAUCCCCAGGCUUAACCUGGGAACUGCAUCCGAUACUGGAUGGCUUGAAUCCGGGAGAGGGAUGCAGAAUUCCAGGUGCAGCGGUGAAAUGCGUAGAUAUCUGGAGGAAUACCGGUGGCGAAGGCGGCAUCCUGGACCGGCAUUGACGCUGAGUGAGCGAAAGCCAGGGGAGCAAACGGG